CAAAAAGUAGGUGAAUGCACGUACCCCUGAGGUAGAACUUGAAAAGUCCACUGCCUGCCCUCCCACGUGAAUGCAAACUGGUCUUGGGGCUCUAUGGGGCUCUAUGGGGCUCUAUGGGGCUCUAUGGGGCGGCUGUGGGGCUCUAUGGGGCUCUAUGGGGCUCUAUAGGACUCUAUGGGGCUCUAUGGGGCUCUAUGGGGCUCUAUGGGGCGGCUAUGGGACUCUAUGGGGCUCUAUGGGGCUCUCUGGGGCUCUAUGGGGCGGCUAUGGGGCUCUAUGGGGCUCUAUGGGGCGGCUAUGGGGCUCUAUGGGGCUCUAUGGGGCUCUAUGGAGGCGGCUAUGGGGCUCUAUGGGGCUCUAUGGGGCUCUAUGGGGCGGCUGUGGGGCUCUAUGGGGCUCUAUGGGGCGGCUAUGGGGCUCUAUGGGGCUCUAUGGGGCUCUAUGGGGCGGCUGUGGGGCUCUAUGGGGCUCUAUGGGGCUCUAUGGGGCGGCUGUGGGGCUCUAUGGGGCGGCUGUGGGGCUCUAUGGGGCUCUAUGGGGCUCUAUAGGACUCUAUGGGGCUCUAUGGGGCUCUAUGGGGCGGCUGUGGGGCUCUAUGGGGCUCUAUGGGGACUCUAUGGGGCUCUAUGGGGCUCUAUGGGGCUCUAUGGGGCGGCUGUGGGGCUCUAUGGGGCUCUAUGGGGCUCUAUGGGGCUCUAUGGGGCGGCUAUGGGGCUCUAUGGGGCUCUAUGGGGGCUCUAUGGGGCGGCUGUGGGGCUCUAUGGGGCUCUAUGGGGUGGCUGUGGGGCUCUAUGGGGCUCUAUGGGGCGGCUGUGGGGCUCUAUGGGGCGGCUGUGGGGCUCUAUGGGGCUCUAUGGGGCUCUAUAGGACUCUGUGGGGCUCUAUGGGGCUCUAUGGGGCUCUAUGGGGCGGCUGUGGGGCUCUAUGGGGCUCUAUGGGGCUCUAUGGGGCUCUAUGGGGCGGCUAUGGGGCUCUAUGGGGCUCUAUGGGGCGGCUGUGGGGCUCUAUGGGGCGGCUGUGGAAGGAAUUCAGCUGUGGGAUCACAUGGGCUGAGCCUGACGCCACCCCUCCCCGACCUCAUUUAAGGGCCAUUCGUGGCUUCUCUGUGUGCCUGUCUGGUUGAUACCAU
ensembl:lncRNA